GAAUGAUGAAUUCUCAAGGGUCUUAAGUCAACAAAUCGACUUUUACUCAAACGAUCCUAAUGCAGACAGAAUAAACCGCAUCAGAGGUGAAAUGAGUCAGGUACGCAAUGUCAUGAUAGAGAACAUCGACAAAGUUCUUGAAAGAGGAGAUCGACUGGAACUGUUGGUUGACAAAACUGCAAAUAUGCAAGGGAAUACUUUUCGCUUUAGAAAACAAGCUCGCCGUUUCAGGAGUACAGUAUGGUGGCGGAAUGUUAAACUCACGAUUAUGCUGAUUGUCGUCCUCCUGAUUAUAGUUUAUGUUGUGCUUGCAUUUGUGUGCCAUGGUGUCACUCUGCCAACUUGUAUCAGGUGAAUAUGGCUUCUACUCGUCCCCGGUAUGUUUUUGUGUGCGAUCUAUGAGCAGUAUUUUGCUCUCGAACUUAUGUGUUUUGUUGCAAAGACAUUGAAACUUAAUUAUUUAAUGAUUUUUUUUUUCUGGUGGAUAAUCUUGCCUCUGUAAUUCUAUAUUACUUGUAGAGUGAAACUAGUUGUAUGUAUGUCUUGCUUUAUUCGUGGCAUUAUUC
rnacentral:misc_RNA from 1 species